CGCAGCCCGGGUCCUGGCGCCAGCUGCGCGCGCUGAGUGGAAGCCCUUGAAGACCACGGCUCACCUGGAGCUGAGGACCGAACCCAGCGCCUUGCGCUUGGUAGGCAAGCGCUCGACCACUGAGCUAAAUCCCCAACCCAACAAAUGCAUUUUUAUAAGAUUUCCAGAAACCUUAAAAUUACAUAGAUGGAGGUCCGUGAGAUGGCUCGGUGGGUACAGUGCUGGGUUCAGAGCCUAGAACCCACAUAAGAUAGAAGGAGAGAGCCUGCUACACAGAAUUGUCCUUCACCAUUCAUAGCCCCCCCCCACACCAUGUACAUACAAUAAAAAUAAGUUUUAAAUUAUAUAUACGACUCACAUCAUACUCCUAUGUAUAGCAUUGUUCAAGUUCAAACCAGACUGAGAAUACAUAUAUACAUACAGGUGGUAGAGAAGACACAGAGAGACAUGGACUCCACUGAAGAGGCUGCUGAAAGAAUCCAGGUGAGAGCAGAUGGAGUCUAGGACCAGGACAGGGUUUGGAGAGGUUGCCAGAAGCGGAUAGAGUACAGGUAUAUUUUGACUAUGUGCCAACAGGAUUUUCGUAAAACUGUAGGGUGUGAGCAAAGGCUCAUCCCAAGUUUCCCAGCCCAAGAAGCUGAAAGGAUGGUAUUGUCGUUCACUGAGAUGGCGAAGACUCAAAGUGGAAGCUUGUAUGAAGAUGAGGAUUUUGUGUGAGCCUGUUAUUCUGAAGAUGUCUGUCAAGAACCCACAUGGGGAAGAUGAACAGUUUGGGAUAUGUGUUUUUUCUUCUGGUACCUUCUUGUGAUAGCUAAUCUUGGUUGUCAACUUGACUACAUCUGGAAUUAAUCAAAACCCAAACAGCUGAGCACACCUGGGAGGAUUUUUCUUGGAUUAUUUGAGAUGGAAGACCCACCCUAAAUCUGGUCCACGUCUUCUGGUGGCAACCCACAUUGAAGGCUGGAAGGAGGCAUCUUUCAUGUUUGCCUGCUUGCUCGCUCUGGUAAGUUCAUCUGUCCUGUUCCUGAGCCCUCUUCCUUCACUGGUGUCUGACCUACUUCUUCAGGAUUCCAUCACAGAACGGGCAGCUCUCUAGGACCUUCCUGGAACUCCAGCACCAGAGUGGGACGGCUGAGGCAUUCAGUCUUGUGAACCAAACCACCACCAGAUCCUUGGCCUUUCCAGCAGGGGACAGUCAUUGUUGGACUACUUAGACCACAGCCUGUAAACCAUUCUAACUAAUCCCUUUACACACACACACACACACACACACACACACACACACACACACACACACACACACGGCAGGAGUGUUUUGAAACAUCAAAGCCUUCCCCCUAUAUUCCCUGGACAUAUUUCUCCAGGAACAAGGCCACAACUUGUACUAAUCUUCCCCAAAUAGCCACCAACUGGGGAUUCAUAUACAUGAGACUUAUAGGGGGCAAUCUCAUUUAAACCAACACAUUGUUCUUUAAAGGACCUGAGUUCAGUUUCCAGCGCCCAUGUCUGACAGCUCACAACAACCUGUAAGUCAGGUUCCAGGGGAUGGAGGAUCCUCUUCUGAACUCCAUUCAUGAAUGUAAACACUUGAGUGUGCACGCGAGAGCGCACGUGCGCGCGCGCGCACACACACACACACACACACACACACUUUAAGACCUUCUGUAAGAGGGCCUGAUCCCCUUUGGGAGAGAGGAGCUCUCUUGGCUCUUUAAUUGCCUUUGAAAGCGCCAUCACUGAAAAUAACCACACUGGGAGGUUGGGAGGAGACAAAUGCAAAUCCCAGCAAAUAAUGACAAUGGAAUAGCAGCUUUGGGUGUGAGACUGGCUUUGCUUUGACUUUGGCAUUUAGGGUUUUGGCACUAUCCAGCCUUCAUGAAGCUGGUGUAGGAUGGUUAUACAAAGACAGACAAGAUACAAGGACUGUGGCAUUGGAGAUGCCAUGGGUUGGGCUGCAGUAUUAAUGGUCAGCAGCAGCAGAGCAAAGGUAGCAUCUGAGCAAGGACUUGUAACGGGAGUGACCAGGUGGACAACUGCAGGAACAGUAUCUGUCAGAGAAAUUGCACAGUGCAGAGGUCCUGAGGCCUGAGUAGGCCUGGUGAAUGGAGGAGCAAGAAAGGAAGGUCACUGUGGCCAGAAGAGGAAUCGGGAGGGAGCAACCGACUGGGCUAGAGAGGCAGUGGAGACAGAUGGAACAGCUAUUGUCAGCGUUUGCUGUGCCCUUCAGCUUAUUAGGAUGCACCUCAUUGCAGCCUGGAAUUGUCGCCUCCUUCAGAUGAGUUAGGCUCAGGCUCUUCUUAGGUUCGAGAACAAGAUCAGGCAGAUUCAAAAGUUAACUUUCCACAGCUACUAAAUGCAAUACGAAGGACUCAAAGCCGAGUCCAGGAUUCCAGUGUGGUGUCCGUCCUCUGUGUCAUUCUCCACUCUUAAAUGCUGAAGGAGAGUCAAAUGAAAGCCCCGGCCCACCCUUGAACCAACGCCACGAGAGGAGAGCCAUGUGGAGGGGACAGACUCCCCCAAGGCUGAAGAGCCCCCAGAGCUGGGUGUCUUUUCUUGGGGUCCACCUUGCAGAGUCUGUGGUGUACAAGACAGGCAGGAUUCCCUACCCCCAGUGUGUUCCAAGAGGUAAAAACUAAUUGAGAAUCAGGAGUGAUAUGAAAGGAAACAAGGCUUUGAGGCCAGAGGAAGCAUGAAGCUACAUGAAGAAGGGUGGGCACAGUCUGCCCUUGACCCUGAGAGCACCAGUUGUAUAGACAGGUAAGUUUACUUUUGCUGAGGAGUGCAGUUUUGUCUAUUGGGCUGCCUGGCUGACGAAGAGAAAGGUUCAGAGAACAGUUGGCCUCGGACUCUGGGGUGGCGGUGUCUUUGUUCUUGAGGCAUGACUCACAGCCUGCUGGAGAGUACAGCUUGUCUGUUCACCGUUCACCGGAAGAAGCGUGUCUACGACAAAGUAUUCAAGGAAGCCUUUAAAGCUGCUGCUGCUAGGAUGCAACUGGACCUUGCUGCUGUGGCUGUCCUUUUGUGCUUUUAUAAUGUUUUAUAUACCACUUUAGCUUUUACAGUGGUGUAGAAGACAUACCAUUGUCCUGAACACAGAGGAGACCUGGGGACACUGAUAGCAAAAUCAAAUCAAAUCACAGGGUACAGACCAAAAUAGGGCAGCCUCAUCAUAAGCUUUUUGUGUUUUGUUUUUGUUUUUUGAGACAGGGUUUCUCUGCAUAGUUUUGGUGCCUGUCCUGGAUCUCGCUCUGUAGACCAGGGUAGCCUCGAACUCACAGAGAUCCACCUGGCUCUACCUCCCAAGUGCUAGGAUUAAGGUGUGCGCUACCUCCGUCUGGUGUAUAAGCUUUUGAGAAGAUGAGAAGAGGCUCCAGGGAGACCCCUCAGGAUGUGAUAGGAUCCAGCCUCUAAGUAUAUUAGCUACAUGGAUUUGAUGGCGGGGCUGCGUCGUCUUCUCGUAUAGCGUGCCUGGAUGUUGAAGUCGAUCAUCCAGGAACAGUGCUUCCUGGUGUCUUUGGAGACUGAGGAAUUGCUUCCCUCCAUAGUCUCACUGCAUCUGUGUAGGAAGAUCAUUACUCUCCUGCUUCUGUAUCCACUUGCAGGAACGCACGUGACUUACUUUUCCCAAGGGGGCAACAAGAUACCCGACUAAAGCAGUUUAAGCAGAGACUCUAUUUAGAGGUAGAGUUGAAGGGUCGAGUUCAUCAUGUUGGGAUGGCAUGGUGGCAGAAGCAUCUAUCCAGUCAGGAAGCAGAGAGAGGUGAAGGACGCUGUUUAGCUCCCUUUCUCCCGUUCUUCAGUCUAGGUCCCCAGCUCAUGGAAUGGGGCUGCCUACCUUCAGGGUGGGUCUUUCCACCUCAACUAACGCAACCUAGAAACCCUCCCCAGACAUGCUCAAUGGGGAUUCUAAAUCUCAUCAAGGUGACAAGAUCAAUCAUCACAGCACAAGUGAGCCAUCUACAAAUGCUCCGAGGUCCAGGCACAGUGCUUGCCUAGGUUUUAUAUCAUAAUAUCAGUUUCUAAUCCACAGAGCCAACUGGCAAUUAUAGUGUUAGUAAUAUGUAGAACACAGGCUUAGGAGACCCAAGCUCAACACUACAUGCAGGACUGGGUUCCUUUGCUUCCAUGUGUCCAGAGUUGCCUACCUCUCUAAGAUGACAGUUGCAUUUUGCUUAGUGGGACUAGCUAGAGACUCCAAACUAUAGUCACAUUCGACUCUUUGCUCUUAAUUCCUUGGUCCUUCGCCACGAUCCACCUAAAAUUAGAGAUGGCUACUAAGUGUUACGUUCACUUCCCUCUACACAAAAGGUGAAAAGGGCAGCGUCCUUUACUCAUUCACCAGUGAAUGUUAAAACUAAACACCUAUCGUAAUACUCAAGUCAUCGUGGUAGGUUCCUAGCAUAGUCAUUGUUGAUUCAAACCACUUCUGAGUGUGUUGUCUGUCAUUCGCCGAAUCCUUGCCUUCCUCACUACCCAAGCCCUGGUUCUCCUAUGGUCGUGGUACUCCCAGUGGGCCAGUCUGUGACAAAUCAUUUAUUUAUUUUUGUAUAAGAUUUCUACAUUUAAUCUAAAAAUAAAUGUACUUGAAAUUUGUUGGGAAAUGAGAAAAUCCCUCCAAGUAAUGAAAAUAGAGUUUCAAAGAUCAGUGAGAGGGCUGGAGAGAUGACUCAGUGGGUAAGAAAGAAAGCUGAGUAAGCCCUGAGGAACAAGCCAGUAAGCAGCACCCCUCCAUGACUUCUGCAUCAGCUCCUGCCUCCAGGUUCCUGCCCUGUUUGAGUUCCUGUUCUGACUUCCUUUUGUGAUGGGCUGUGCUGUGGAAGUGUAAGUCAAAUAAACCCUUUUCUCCCCAAGUUGCUUUUGGUUAUGGUGUUUUCUCAUAGCAACAGAAACCCUAACUAAGAAAUAGGACAAAAA